CGACUGGCGGUAUGCCUAACACAUGCAAGUCGAACGAGAAAGCUCUUCGGAGUGAGUAGAGUGGCGCACGGGUUAGUAACACGUGGAUAAUCUGCCUUUAAGCGAAGAAUAACCACUCGAAAGAGUGGCUAAUGCUUCAUGAGCCCACAGUAUCUUCGGAUGCAGGGGGAAAAGAUGGCCUCUUCUUGAAAGCUGUCACUUAAAGAUGAGUCCGCGCACCAUUAGCUUGUUGGUGGGGUAAUGGCCUACCAAGGCUUAGAUGGUUAGCUGGUCUGAGAGGAUGAUCAGCAACACUGGAACUGAGACACGGUCCAGACUCCUACGGGAGGCAGCAGUGGGGAAUAUUGGACAAUGGGCGAAAGCCUGAUCCAGCAAUACCGCGUGAGUGAUGAAGGUUUUCGGAUCGUAAAGCUCUGUCAGUGGGGACGAAAAAGCUUACCUAAUACGUAAGUCCUUGACGGUACCCACAAAGGAAGCACCGGCUAACUCUGUG
rnacentral:rRNA from 1 species